CCUACGGGUGGCAGCAGUGAGGAAUAUUGGUCAAUGGACGCAAGUCUGAACCAGCCAUGCCGCGUGCAGGAAGACGGCUCUAUGAGUUGUAAACUGCUUUUGUACGAGGGUAAACGCAGAUACGCGUACCUGUCUGAAAGUAUCGUACGAAUAAGGAUCGGCUAACUCCGUGCCAGCAGCCGCGGUAAUACGGAGGAUUCAAGCGUUAUCCGGAUUUAUUGGGUUUAAAGGGUGCGUAGGCGGUCGGAUAAGUUAGAGGUGAAAUCCCGAGGCUCAACUUCGGAAUUGCCGCUGAUACUGUUCGGCUAGAGAGUAGUUGCGGUAGGCGGAAUGUGUGGUGUAGCGGUGAAAUGCUUAGAGAUCAUACAGAACACCGAUUGCGAAGGCAGCUUACCAAGCUACUUCUGACGUUGAGGCACGAAAGCGUGGGGAGCGAACAGGAUUAGAUACCCUUGUAGUC
rnacentral:rRNA from 1 species